AAUAUUGAUCACAGGCAUGUAUACAAAUAUGGGGCUAGAAUUUUCAGAGCCGGUGGGAAAUUCUUGGCCCAGAUGGAAAUGUUUGGGAUAUCAGGACGCACAAGUUAAAACAAGAUCUUCCAGGCCAUGAAGAUGAGUUAUGUUCUUACUCCAAGUCUGGUUAAUAUUCUUCUUUUGACAUUGACCUGUUUUAAUUAAUGUUUUCCUCCUUUUCCUAUUCUGGAAAAGUUUUAGCUGUUGAUUGGAGUCCAGAUGGUGAGAAGGUAGCCUCUGGCCGUUGGGACAGGGUGCUCAAGUUAUGGAUGGGUUGAUGGCUGAAGGAGAUGUAUGAAAUGAAGAUUGACAUGAUUCUUCCACAACAUGAUGGACCUGGCAGGCACUCAGCUUCUGCCUACAGUUACAGUCUACCUUAGGUGUAACUUAAAGGUUGUGCACCAAGUGCUGAUGUUUUGAGGGAUUAAGGGUGGUUUGUGGAGCAGUCCCCUUUUCAGAGUAUUUCCGGUAUUCUAUCAAUUGGUUCAGGUGUUCUGCAACUUUGGGACACCUAUAGUAUCUAGAUAAGCCUGCAUGCUGGAGAAAACCCUUCUGAUAUGCUCUGUACCCACUCAUCGAAAAUAGUAGAAAACUUUAUUCAGCUGUAUUAUUUUUAUUACUUAGAUUGAAUCUUAUUCAUUAGGUUUGCAGAUCAGGAAAAAAGUGCCAUGGCUUUGAAUGUUUCUCUUUAAUAGUAGCAGUGUGCAUUGAUCCAAAGAGUUUGCAGCAUGACAGUUGAAUGAAAUUAUGAAAUGUAGCACUCAUGGGCAUAUAUAUCAUAUGAAAAUUUUUAAAUAGA